rnacentral:rRNA from 1 species
GACGAACGCUGGCGGCGUGCUUAACACAUGCAAGUCGAACGGAAAGGCCCUGCUUUUGUGGGGUGCUCGAGUGGCGAACGGGUGAGUAACACGUGAGUAACCUGCCCUUGACUUUGGGAUAACUUCAGGAAACUGGGGCUAAUACCGGAUAGGAGCUCCUGCUGCAUGGUGGGGGUUGGAAAGUUUCGGCGGUUGGGGAUGGACUCGCGGCUUAUCAGCUUGUUGGUGGGGUAGUGGCUUACCAAGGCUUUGACGGGUAGCCGGCCUGGGAGGGUGACCGGCCACAUUGGGACUGCGAUACGGCCCAGAGUCCUACGGGAGGCAGCAGUGGGGAAUAUUGCACAAUGGGCGGAAGCCUGAUGCAGCAACGCCGCGUGCGGGAUGACGGCCUUCGGGUUGUAAACCGCUUUCGCCUGUGACGAAGCGUGAGUGACGGUAAUGGGUAAAGAAGCACCGGCUAACUACGUG